rnacentral:lncRNA from 1 species
GUCACAGCCACCAUCUUCUGUGAAGUCAGACUAACAGUAUGUAUGUAGCUGUCUAAAUAAUGACCUUGUUCAUCCCUGAUAUGGCUGGUCGUCUGUUUUUGCUCAUCCUCCUUUUCGAUCUUCCUCAGCCCAGUCUGACAGUGAUUCCUGCAGUCAUCAAAGAGAGAGACUCAGUUCAGCUGAACUGUCAGACUCCAUCUGUCUCUGAGUGUUACUUCAAAAUGGAAGGGCAAGUGGAAUUCACCCUACCAUCACCCUGUCAACAGACACUCACAGGAACACUACUGGUGAGGUGGACAGGUCAGAGUUCACCAGCUGAGGUCAAAAUACAAUGUCAGUACAGUGCUACAGGUUCACAGUUUAGAUCCAUGUACAGUGAGCCUUCAACAGUCACAAUUCAGGACAUUCCUCAGCUGACAGUGAGUUCUACAGUCAUCAGAGAGACAGAAUCAGUUCAGCUGAGUUGUGAGACUCCUCCAUCUCGCCAUGUGUCUAACUGUUACUUCUACAUAGAGGUGGGGAAGAAUUUUCCAGGGUCAUUGUGUACGCAGACAAUAACAGGAACUGAGCUGCUGAAGAGGGCAGGUCCAACAUUUCCAGCUGUGGUCAAAGUGAAAUGUUACUAUGCUGUAGGGAGGUCUCACACAUCUCCUUUAAGUAACCCUGUCUCAGUCACUGUUCAGGAUCCAAAACCAGACAUUACAGUCCAAUUUGAUGAGGACUUCACCAUCAUCUGUUUGAUUCCUGGAUCGGUCAGUCCUGACAGCACCUGUAACCUGUAUGUUGGAGAGGAGAGUCAGCCAUCCUUCACAGCAAAGACCAAGAAGAGACAAUCCACCUCAGCACCCAGACAGGAGUUCUGUCAAUUCACUCCAAAUCAUAGUGAUCUGAUCAGUGGUCUACAGUCAGUGAGGAGUAAGGAGGUGAGCUGUGAUUACAGAGUGAGCUCUGGACCAAACUCUCUCUCUCCACGCAGUGAUGGGUACAGCUUUACAGAUCUGGUGGGAGUUCACAUCAGUGAUCCAACAACUGUACAGACACCUUCUAUAGCAGUGGGUUUGACUCCAGGUCCUAGAUCUACUUUGCCUCCCAGCAAGACAGUGAGUCCUACAGAAGUUUCAACUGUUACUUCUACCUUUACCCCAGACACCACAGUGACACCAACUACCAGGUCGACUGUUUGCUGUACUUUUACCACUGACACCCCAGCGAGUCCAACUGAAAGAGUUCAAAGCUCCACAGAAAGUGAUGUGGAAUCAAACAGUCAAGAAAGCAUUCUGGUGGGGCAAUUAUGGCAGGCAGCAGUGGCUUCUGGAGUGGGCGUGCUCCUGGUAGGAUUGACAGCUGUCAGUCUCUGCAGGAGGACCAAGAAAACCAAUUCUCAGAGACCUACAGCCAGACAGGAUGAUCACAGACAAUAUGAAUUGGUGUCUAUGGGAGCGGUGAGCAGAGGAAUCAUGGUGGAUUCAGGAGAUGCUGGAAUCGAUUCUCAGAUCACUUCUGUACUGUUCACGUUCACGCCCUCAGGUAACGUUGAUGUGGAUACACAGGCAUUUGCAAAUAAACAUGUAAGUACAGCACAAAUAAUUGCAUGGAGUAUUCUUAUAUCGGUUGUACUAUUCAUUGUAUUAUAUUGUUAUAUUAUUAUUAUUAUUUAUAGCAUUGUUUUCACAGACAGACGGACUCGAGGAUACAAGUAUCUCUCUUUCUCUCACUGUGAUUUGACUUUCAGUUUAAGAUUGGUCUUACAUCCUCAUAAAAUACCCCUUAUGAAUUACAUUAACUGUACUGUAGAUUCGAAGCCCUAAAGUGAAUCUGUUUCUUUCCUCUAGUCUGACACUUACCAUGUAUACAGCUCAAUCCCCGACAGACCAGCAACCUCAGCCCAGCCGGAUGGGUUGUACAGUCUUCUGCAGACACACUGACACUACACCUCUGGCUUUCUGUAGCUAUGUCUCACACAAAUACAUUCUAUCUCACACGACAUCCAUUGUUUAUCACACAUCCAGUUACUGUAAAUAAGUUGCUUAACAGGUAAUAUAUCUACUGUAUUACACAUAGACAACUGGUUUCUGUUACAUGUCUAUCCAUAAUAUCUGUUACUGUGUUAAUAUAUAUAUAUAUUAUUUUUUAGGGGUCCAGGGGCAUAGUCCCCUUUGAGCAUUUUUCUUAUUUCUUUCCCCUAGUUAAUGCUAAAUCUACUGUAUUUAUGUAUUUUACGUUGACUGUGUGAUACCUCCUUCCAUAGCGGUUGGAUACAAUUAAUUUCCUGUUGGGCAAAACAUAAUCCAAAACACAACCAAAACAAACUGCAAAUGCAUCCAACAAGUUUGUUGAGUCACAAGCUUGAUGUAUUUAUUGGGUGCAAAGAAUCAAGGACCAAAAUACAAAAUGUUUGACUACCUUAAUACACUAUAAAUGAGUUUGUCCAAAUACUUGUGACUUUUUCAAAUGUGGGGACUAUAUAGAUAAAGUGCAUUUAUAUCAAAACGGUAAAACAUACAAUGCCUUCAGAAAGUCUUCACACCCCUUGACGAUUUCCACAUUUUGUUGUGUUACAGCCUGAAUUUAAAAUGUAUGAAAUUGAGAUUUUUUUUUGUAACUGGCCUACACACAAUACCCCAUAUCGGGGUGGCAGGUAAUCCAGUGGUUAGACCGUUGGACUAGUAAUCGAAAGGUUGCAAGAUCGAAUUCCCGAGCUGACAAGGUAAAAAUCUGCCGUUCUGUCCCUGAACAAGGCAGUUAACCCACUGUUCCUAGGCCGUCAUUGAAAAUAAGAAUUUGUUCUUAACUGACUUGCCUAGUUAAAUAAAGGUAAGGUCAAAGUGGAAUUAUGUAAAAAAAAAAAGAGUGUCAUUGAGUAUUUAACCCCUUUGUUUUGGAAAUCCAAAAUAAGUUCAGAAGUAAAAUUCUGCUUAACAAGUCGCAUAAUAUGUUGCAUGGACUCACUCUGUGUGCAAUAAUAGUGUUUAACAUGAUUUUUUAAUGGCCUCAUCUCUGUACCCCACACUUAUAAUUAUCUGUAAAGUCCAUCAGUCACGUAGUGAAUUUCAAACAUAGAUUCAACCAAAAAAACAGGGAGGUUGUCUAAUGCCUCACAAAGAAGGAAACUUAUUGUUUAAAAAAAGCAGACAUUGAAUAUCCCUUUGAGUAAGGUGAAGUUAUUAAUGGAUGGUUUAUCAAUAUACCCAGUCACAACAAAGAUAACGGCAUCAUUCCUAACUUAGUUGCCGAAGAGGAAGAAACCUGCUCAGAGUUUUCACCAUGAGGCCAAUGGUGACCUUAAAGCAGUUACAGAGUUUAAUGACGCUCAGCAGCACCUUCUCCACGCUGCUCUUCGUCGUCCUUCUCGCCUUCCUGUGGAGGAACUGGGAGGUCAUCUCGCAGUACCUGGAUCCCCUCCUGAUGUCCCCGAGUCGACCUACACGGGUGGGGCUCUCUUAAUGAGUGACGAAGGGAGGUGAUGGUGGGGCGGGGCUCCCUGAACAAUGAGGGACAGAGGCAGGGACUGGUGUGUGGGGGGGGGACUAACUAACAAACCCGUACACUGCCUCUGAUGCAUGUGGUGGAGCCAGGCAAGUACAAAGGGUGGGCUUAGCGGAAAGGAGGAGGAUGAUGAGGUGCCAGGAGAUCUGCACACUUACUUCUCUCUCUCUCAGAACUGUGAAAUUGUUUACACGUGGAAGAUGUUUUCUUGAUUUAGAAUUGAUUCAAGUGGUAUUGAAUUUGUUUCUUCUUAUUAUUGCAGUCAUUAAUGCAAAUGCUUGAGGGCUUUCUCUUGUGGCAGGAUUGGGAAGGUAAACAGCUGGCAUGUUGAUGAUCCACAUGGCUAGUGACUUCACCCUUUUUUUGAUCUCCUUUUCUCUACGUCCAAAAUCUCUUUCCUUUUCUCUCUUUAACCCUAAAAUCUCUCCUUUCUCCCUUUUCUUACUCCCAAUAUGGUCUCUUCCGUGUUUGUCUUCCUCUGCCCCUCUUCUCAAUCACCCCAGUCUUUGCCCAUUUCACCAAAUCGCUCUUCUUUCUGGGAGGAUUGAUGUGACUAGCUACAGUGCACUGUUGUGGACAAAAUCUAAUUCAUCACUGGAUCAAGCAAGUGAUGGGUUCUUGACUUGUUUCUAUUGGACGAGCUAAAUGCGACGUUGGGCUUGAUUGGAUCAGGACUGAGUCGGAAUAUGCUCAGCUUGACGCCUUGCACUCUUGGCCUGGCCUGUUGGAUCUGCCCCUGCUGAGACUAUAAACUAAUCUAUAAACUGAAUGAACAUACUUGAAGAGCUGUGAAACUGCUCAGACUUUCAGUGCUUCCGUACUGUUUCUAUUAGUGAAAAUGAAAUGUAAACUUUUUAUUUUUUUAAACAAAUAAACAUGCGGUUUUAAAAAUGAAGGAUUGAGUCAACAAACC